rnacentral:tRNA from 3 species
AGCUGGGAGAGCACCUCCCUUACAAGGAGGGGGUCGGCGGUUCGAUCCCGUCAUCACCCACCA